rnacentral:lncRNA from 1 species
CACAAAAAUGCCCACAGAAGUUUUAUUCUUAAGAGUCAGAAACUGGAAAUAACUUAAAUAUCCAUCAACAGUACAAUGGAUAAAUAGUGACAUUUAUACAAUGAAAUACUACACAUCAAUAAAAACAUGAACUACUGCUCCAAACAGAUAAAUCUAAAAGACAUUACGUCGAAUGAAAGAAACCAAUAAAAAAAAAGUACAUCCUGUAAGAUUGUAUUUAUAUGAAGUUCAGGAACAGACAAGUUACUCUGCAGUGAUAGAUGUUAGGAUAGAAGUUACUCUCAAGAGUGGCUGGGUGUUGACUGGGAAGGGGCCAAGUGAGCCUUCUGGAGUUUGUGGGAAUGUUUAUAUCUUGAUCUGGGUGGUGGUUGUAUGGGUAUAUACAUUUGCAUGUCAUACCUCAAUUUAAUAAGAGGGCAAAAGAGCUGAUUUGGGAAAUUUAAAGAGAAAUAAAUUUUUGUCUCUUUUUUUCUAACAAUUUAAAUUUUUCUCCAAAGAAUGCAUAUACCUCUGACUGAUUUAGGAAAAGGGCCGCAAACA